rnacentral:rRNA from 1 species
AUGCCCGCGUGACGACGAGUACUUUGGUAUGUAAAGUUCUUUUAUCAAGGAAGAAAAGCAAGUGGCGAACCAUUUGUUUGCCGGUACUUGAUGAAUAAGCCCCGGCUAAUUAUGUGCCAGCAGCCGCGGUAAGACAUAAGGGGCAAGUGUUAUCCGGAAUUAUUGGGCGUAAAGGGUGCGUAGGCGGUCUAGUAAGUCAGUGGUGUAAUGGCAACGCUCAACGUUGUCCGGCUAUUGAAACUGCUAAACUUGAGUUAGAUAGAGGCGAGUGGAAUUCCAUGUGUAGCGGUAAAAUGCGUAAAUAUAUGGAGGAACACCAGAGGCGUAGGCGGCUCGCUGGGUCUUAACUGACGCUGAGGCACGAAAGCGUGGGGAGCAAACAGGAUUAGAUACCCUGGUAGUCCACGCCGUAAACGAUGAGUACUAAGUGUCGGGUUAAACCGGUACUGAAGUUAACACAUUAAGUACUCCGCCUGAGUAGUACGUACGCAAGUAUGAAACUUAAAGGAAUUGACGGGACUCCGCACAAGCGGUGGAUCAUGUUGUUUAAUUCGAAGAUACCCGAAAAACCUUACCAGGUCUUGACAUGUUUUUGCGAAACGGUAGUAAUAUCGUAGAGGUUAUCAGAAACACAGGUGGUGCAUGGUUGUCGUCAGCUCGUGUCGUGAGAUGUUAGGUUAAGUCCUAAAACGAGCGAAACCCUUAUCGUUAGUUGCCAGCACGUUAUGGUGGGGACUUUAACGAGACUGCCAGUGAUAAACUGGAGGAAGGUGAGGAUCACGUCAAAUCAGCAUGCCCCUUAUGACCUGGGCUACAAACGUGAUACAAUGGCUGUUACAAAAAAAUACUAAAAAC